UAUUGGACAAUGGGCGAAAGCCUGAUCCAGCAAUGCCGCGUGAGUGAUGAAGCCCUUAGGGUUGUAAAGCUCUUUUACCCGGGAUGAUAAUGACAGUACCGGGAGAAUAAGCUCCGGCUAACUCCGUGCCAGCAGCCGCGGUAAUACGGAGGGAGCAAGCGUUGUUCGGAAUUACUGGGCGUAAAGCGCACGUAGGCGGCUUUGUAAGUUAGAGGUGAAAGCCCGGAGCUCAACCCCAGACUCGCCUUUGAUACUGCAUCGCUUGAAUCCAGGAGAGGUGAGUGGAAUUCCGAGUGUAGCAGGUGAAAUUCGUAGAUAUUUGGAAGAACACCAGUGGCGAAGGCAGGCCUCCACUGGAUAUAGUAUUGACGCUCAGGUGCGAAA
rnacentral:rRNA from 1 species